rnacentral:rRNA from 1 species
AGAGUUUGAUCCUGGCUCAGGAUGAACGCUAGCGACAGGCCUAACACAUGCAAGUCGAGGGGCAGCGAAGAGGUAGCAAUACCUUUGUCGGCGACCGGCGUACGGGUGAGUAACGCGUAUCCAACCUGCCCACCACUUGGGGAUAACCUUGCGAAAGUAAGACUAAUACCCAAUGACGUCUCUAGAAGACAUCUGAAAGAGAUUAAAGAUUUAUCGGUGAUGGAUGGGGAUGCGUCUGAUUAGCUUGUUGGCGGGGUAACGGCCCACCAAGGCGACGAUCAGUAGGGGUUCUGAGAGGAAGGCCCCCCACAUUGGAACUGAGACACGGUCCAAACUCCUACGGGAGGCAGCA